AGAUUAAGAGACUACAAAGAUGAAGAAACAAACAGAUUCACAAAUUUACAUACAAGCAUGUCUUGUCUUCCUUGUGUUCAUCUCUAUGACAACAGCAUCUGGUUACCAUGACUACUGUAUUAUUGGUGCUGGACCAGGAGGCCUUCAGUUAGGAUAUUAUUUGCAGCAACAGAAUAGAGACUAUAUUAUUUAUGAACGUACAAAUAUUUCAGGUAUGCAAAAAAAGAUAACAUUUUGUUUUGUACAAAGUCAGAACCCUGUCAAUACAUCUAAUCGCUAUUUGUCUGGACAUCACAAGGACUUCACAAAGGUUCCCUUAAAAUUUUCAUGUCAUAAUAGAAAAUAUAAAUGGAAAAGUGAUUGUUGUAUGUUGUCAAUAGUCCAAGAGUAGCAGAUUCUCUGGACAAGUGGUGCAGAUUUCCAAAUAGUUUAUUUGGAAAUCCAACCAAAAUUAAGCCUUAUUAUUAUUUGUCCUGGCUUUUCUUUGUUAUUCUAUGAUUAUUGUCUAAUGAUUUCACAAUGUCAUGUCAUUUAUCUGUACUGUCAGUCUAACUCCAGUUCAAAUUUCAAACAUUUAGUGAUGAUUUACCAAUAUGUUGUGGAGAAAUCAGAUAGCUCAUUAGAUGUAGUUUUUUCUCUCUCAUAUUAAACCAUUUUAAUAAUGAUAGAAUAUAUUCAUAAUGAAUUGUAUAGAUGCCUUUGGUGACAUACAAACUUAUAUAUUUAAUAUAUCUCUUAGACAAAAGAAAUGUCAUUUAGCUUUGAUAACCUAUGCUAAGCAUACUGUUAUUUUAAGUUAAUAGGAGGAAAUUACCAGCCCACAUACAAAUGACCUAAGUUCUUAGCAAAUCUUGUUUUAUUCACAUAUUUUACAAUGCCUGUCUUAAAAUGCAAUCAUCACAUCUUAUUUCCAGGAUAUCUAUAGUAUUACAGAGCCAUUUGAUAACUGGCGCUCCUGUUUAUGGCUCUGAUCAUAUUAAAGCCAAAACAGUUUUAAUGUCUUCUAUAAUUAUGGUAUUCCAAAUAUUGUUCAUUGAAAGAUUCUCGAGGGAUCUUGAAUGAAUUCUAGUGAGCAUCAGCUGUUAAUGGAAUACUCUAAUACUGCAGAUUUUUACGAUGCUCAUAGUGACGAAUUCUUCACUCGAUGAUAAAUUGGUAGUUGCACUUUCAGUUGAAUUCACACUGUAAACUAAAUUAUUUCUCCGUUACGUUAUAUAAACUUUGUUUGAAUCAAAGUGAUCAAGACAAAAUCGUUUGAUUUGUUCUGAAUUAAACAUAAAUUUCUUAUUCUGUCAAAGUUAGAAGUGUUUUGUGUUUUUUGUUUUGUUACAUUGUAACACUGAAUAGUUUCUCGUUAAAAACAUUUGUUUUCAUUAAGCUUGAUUAAGUAAAUAAAGAGAAAUAUUUUUAUAUUUUCCACAUGAAUUUUGCAUGACAAAUAAUAAGCUGCUAUUUAUUUUGAACUGUGAAAAUAUGGAAAUUUUGUAAGGAAAGUGUGAAAAGCUAAUUUAGAUUGCUGUCCCUAUCAAAAUUUAGAUAUGAGAUCUUUACACUGUCAGUGUUAGAUUUAUUGACAAAUUUUUGUUCCAUUAACUAAGUUUUAUAGAAAUUCCAAAAAUAAAUGGAUACAUUUUAUUUUAAUAUUUAAUACAGGUUAAAAAAAUGAAUUCAUAACAUAAAGGAAUUUGAUUAGUGUUGACAUCAAAAGUAUUUUUGCAAAAAUAUUGUUUUUUUUUACUAUAUCCCUUAUACAAUCCUGUCCAUUAUUGUUUCAAUUUUUUUCUGUUAUGUAAUAUUUCACUCUCAUAUUAGAUAUUAUAUACCCAAUCAUAAAUUUAUGAUUAUGCAUUGUAGACAGAGUGGUAACCUGUGAAAACAUUGACUUUGUUGCUCAGUAUGAUUAUUGCUUUGAACACAUUUAAGCAAAAUAAUCUCUCCUGGCCAAAUUAUAUAUUUCCUUAUUGAAUUCUUAACAGACUAUCAUUUUGAAUUAUUUCUUAUAUUAUAUUUUAUAUAUGUCUGAAAAUAUGAUCAAAUGAUUUAUAAAAUAAAUUUCUUAACACAGGUCAGCCAUUUAUUGUGCCCUUCCAACGGACUAUUAUCGUUUUAUCAAGACAAUACUCUUUGAAAUUUAUUAUAGAUAUAGAAACUUAAGGAACCAAAAAUGAUCCGCAAGACAAGUCCUACUUACUGCCCUUUUGCGAUUUUUUCUAAUUUCAAAGAGUGAAAUUUUAACAGAAACAAAAUUAUCAACUUUACAAGAUGAACAAAAAAGAUCAAAGUUAUAGAAUGAAUAUAGAAGUUCAAAUAUAUAGGUGAGAGAAACUAGCUAUUCAGACCCUCUCCUUUUAUACCACAUAGAAAAUACAAGAAAAGUGUAUAUAAUUCUUGAAGAAUCCAUGAAUUGAAUAUUGUUUUUAUUGGGCUUGUUGAUCUAAUGACUUUCUUUAAAAACUUUAUUUAAAUAUGUCUGAUUAGGUAAUGCAUUUAUGUCUGGUUUUUAGAGGAAAAUAUAUUCAUGGAUUGUUGAUGUUUGAGGCGGAAUUAGUUUAUUUUUUAUUUGUCUGAUGUAACCUGUUUUUAGCAGUGAUUCUUUACAACAGCCGAGCUCUAAUGUCCUGCUAAAAGAUUGUCAGAAUCCACAAAUUACAUCUAAAUUCAAUUAACUUAGGUCAUUACUGUAUGAUGAUAGUGGUGUAUCUUUAUUUGGUGAAAACGUGGUGGAAGUUGUAAAAACUAAUCAUUUCCCAGAUCAAAUCUUACGGAAAUUUGUCAAACUAUCUCUUAACUCAUCUUCUGUGAAACAGUCAUGUCAAUCAAUGUCGCAAUUUAUUUUGAGUUGGCGGAAACAGAUCAGGCAAAAGAGUUAUCAUUUAAAUUAAAAUCUUUAGGAUGAAACAAAGCAAAUAUAAUGUUUGGGUGAAUACACUAAAAGAAAUGAAAUGAGUUUAAACCACUGAAAGAACAGUUUGAUGAACAAGUUUUUGUUCAAUUAGGGAUAUAGUGUUUAACAGUAAUUUAUAUGUAAAUAGAUGUCUUAAAUUAUUGAAUCAUUGAAUUCAAUUAAUACUGCAGAUUGAACUGAAAAAAUAUAGAUAAAGACUAUGUAACAUUCAGGUUCAAAGUCUCAUCCUCCUGAAAAAAGAUAUAGGGAUUGAGUACGGAUUUUCUCUAAUUUUUAUUGUCACUAAAAAUAUAAUUUGUAUAAAGAAAUGACAUUGACAACAUAAGCUGAAAGCUAUGGGUAGGUCCCUUAACAUUACAAAUCCAAUCAUAUAAUACAUUGUACUUUGAAAUUUGAUGUCAGAUAUUUUCCAUUAAAAAAUCUAAACCUAAUUUGGAAAAACCUGCAUAAGGUUUAAUGGCCACACUAGCAUUAUUUUCUUAUAUUUCCAUCCAACUGUCUAUCAAACAUUUUUCCAUUUAUAUUUAUAAUCCAUUUCAAAUAUUUCUUAAAACUUCAAGCUAAUUUUAUGAUACUAUAGGCACUGGAACUUUAAAUCUCAAAGACUUUCAACUUUAAAUAAGUUGUAAUCAGUAAAGCAAGCAUUUCACUUCUCAUUUGGAGAAAUGUCUCAUAAUUGUUUUGUGUGCCAGAAAAAAAACUGGUGAGGGGCAUAAAGGGGGUGUGUGUGUGAUCUGCACAGAAGAACUCGAAAUAAAAUUGCCAUUUCAUGAUGAACGGAACAGUUAAAAAUGUCCUGCAACGUUGAUCUUUUUACCGAUUUCAUGAAACACGGUGAAUAACGAACCUUUUUCACAGUUGCACGUAAAAUAAAAAUGGCAAAACACAUUGCAUGAAAAUAACCCUUUAUUACCCUCUAUGGUCUUUCAAAACUUUUAUCUGAAAUAACUUGUAUGGCAAGGAUUCUAUCAUACUAUUAUGAUGUCAUACAAUGCAAUUCACUUAGUUUUGUAUCUAGUGCCCUGUAAUGUUAUCAUGCUAAUAAAAUGAUUACAUUAAGAAGUUCUGAUAGAUCCCACAUUAUGUUUUAUCUCCGUUAAUUAAUUUUACAUUAGUUCAGAAAUGGAUGUUCCUUUUAGAGCAACUACGUCUGAGAACAUGAAUUGUAUUCCUUGUAUCUUUUACACAUCAAAAGAAGACGAAAGUUACUUGGGCGGGUUAGAAAAAAGCAGGCUUUCAACAUUCUACUAUUUUAUUGAUGGUUAAAACUAAUUACAAAGAGAGAAUGGAAAUCAAUGUAAGAUAACAAUAUAAAUCCAUCAUUAUUUCCUUAUUUUAUAAUCAGAUAUGAUGAGUCUGUAAUAGCAUCUUUAUCCAGCUUUAAUACAAUUCAUGACUUUCAUUUUAAAACCUAAACAAUUAGCUUCAUCAAUGUUCAUGACAGGGAUGUAUGUAACUGUCCUUCUUAUAUAACACGUUCAUGAUUUCUCAGUUAAUAUUCAUUGCCAUGAUCAUAAGUGUUCAUACAGACACAAAUUUAUUAAAUGUAAUAAAAAUGUAAUUAAUUGUAAUAAUUUAAGGUUGAUUUUAUUAUUGGGAAGCAGGCUGAUGAUUUAUAUGUAUAAUUAUUAUCCUAUGUACAUGAUUUAAUUAUGAAAUUUAAUAAGAUAAGGCUACAAGCCUACAAGGGGAGAUUAAUAUUACCUAGCUAUUUUCUUCAUUCCAUAAUGUCUUUAUAAAUGAUAGAAAAUUAAUGUAUAUGGUAUAUAUGAAAAAUGAUAUUCAAGUAUCAAUUAGAAAAUGCAAUUAGAAGAAUAUACUUUAAAUAAGACUGUAAUUAAGCUUAUUCCCUUAGGAGAUUAGGAUGAUAAAAAUGUACCUUGAUCCUCGGAAUUUGCUACUAAUAUUAAAUACAUGUAAUGAUCUUCUUUGUUUGGCAUUUCACUUGAGGACAAAUUUAGUUAUUUAACAGUUAAUCAUACAAUAAUUAAAUCUUUGUAAGAUAUGUCCUUUGGGAAGAUGUUAUGAUGAAAAACAAUUUUCCACGUCCACUUGUAUUUUUGUCCAUCUGAUGAGUUAAGCCUUUUUCAACUGAUUUUUAUAGUUCGUUCUUAUGUUGUACUGUUAUACCACUGUCCCAGGUUCGGGGAGGGUUGGGAUCCCGCUAACAUUGUUUAACCCCGCCACAUUAUUUAUGUAUGUGCCUGUCCCAAGUCAGGAGCCUGUAAUUCAGUGGUUGUCGUUUGUUUAUGUGUUACAUAUUUGUUUUUCGUUUAUUUUUUUUUACAUAAAUAAGGCCGUUAGUUUUCUCGUUUGAAUUGUUUUACAUUAUCUUAUCGGGGCCUUUUAUAGCUCACUAUGCGGUAUGGGCUUUGCUCAUUGUUGAAGGCCGUACGGUGACCUAUAGUUGUUAAUGUCUGUGUCAUUUUGGUCUUUUGUGGAUAGUUGUCUCAUUGGCAAUCAUACCACAUCUUCUUUUUUAUAUAUUCUAUAAAUGUUUCGAUUGUUCUCAAGAAUAAUUUUUAAGUCACCCUUAAGAUAUUAAUGUCAUUAAUAUAAGUAGCUAAAUAUAUAUAUAUAUAUUUGCCAAUUAAGGAUAUUACUAACUGAUGAAUUAUAUGGUAGGUAUAUAUACUGGACUAGAUGAUUGGUUACAGCUUUUACAUUAAUGCUAGCAAGACAAAUCUUUGUUUGGCUUGCUUGCUUUGUUUGCAUCAAUGUUUGCUCAAGCAUAGCAAUUAAGAUAGGUGGGGCUUCAGCUUGUAUACAUCAUACUUAAAUUUUAUUGGACGUUAUGUUUGAGGUUAAGGACACCAAAUUUUAAAACAUCACAGGAUGACAAUAUAAAGCGCAAUCGUAGAAAUGGAAGCAAAAAAAAAAAAAUAAAAAAAUUUCGAAGAUGUGCAUUUUCAGCAUCCAACUUAAAAGACUGUCGUCAAGUACUUUUAGAAAAACAAAAUAGCUAUUCGAACACACCUACUCUGAUUUUGUGAUUCAUUACAAAGGUAUUUCUUUUGACCCAUAUAUUUCAUAUUUUAGUACUGUGACUUUUUUAUGUUAUAAAGUCAACCUGUAGCUUUGCUAUAUAAAAAUGAUAGAAUUUGAAGCGAGGUGAUGUAUCAAAUUCUCUUGCUUUGUGCGUUUUCAAGACAAAAUAUUCAUCUCAAACACACCCUAACAUAAGAAGGUACACUCGAUUUUCUCUUUUCGAUACAAUUGUUACCCAUUUUUGGAUUUUUUUUCUUGAGUUACAUAAUGGAAGGACAGACACGGAAAUAACUGAACUUAUAGGUUGAUAUGUUCUCCGUCCGUGGUAAUUUUAAAAAAAAUCGAAGGUUAUGCAUUUUCUUCGUCCAACUUGAUAGAUACCCAUGUCGUCGACUUGAUAUCCAAUUGUUCUGCUUAACUAUGUAAUAGAUAAAUUGAAACUUAUGCAAAUGUUGGUUUUGUUAACAAUAAAACACUUUGUAUUUGAAAAGAAAAGUGUUUUUUUAUUUGUUUUUAUUAACCUUUCAAAAAUUUGGUAACUAUACAAAAAUCAUUUAUCGCCUUUUCAAUAAACAAACAAUAAUCAGUUUGAAGGUUUACAAGCAGAAAUUAAUCCAAAGGGUUAAAUGGACAUAAUAAGUAAUAGGGAUAAAUUAAGAAGGGGGGGGGGCAAAUGACAGAAUAUUACAAGUUCAUUAUUUCAACAUUUUUGCAAUUAUGAAUAAAUAAUUGUUAACAAAAUGUUUUACUAGAAAUUGGAAUAUAGAAAGUGUGGACAUCAAAAGUUUACUUAAUAAUUAUACAGACAAUGCGCCCUUUUACAAAACAUUAAUUGUUUCACAAAUAAAGUAAAAUAAUUUCUUAAAACAUAGCAAAACAAAUCGGUCUGAUUGGUAGAAUUUCACAUGAGCCGUGGUAUAGCAAACAUCUUAUUCCCCCACUUAUUUUUAUCACACACAUCAUUAUUUUUUUUAUACUCAACUAGUUGUGUUUAUUUCCUUAAUAUAGUAACCUAACUAUAUUUUGCAUAAUGUCAAUUUCAUCAUGGAACACUUUCUCCACAAUAAGGGGUUCAUUACGGGAUAAAAAUGAGUUUGACAAUUGUGUUGUUACUCAUUUAAAAAGCUAUCAGUGUAUAGUAACUAUUUGUUUAAGUUGCAGUAUAAAAACAAUAUUAGGUCAAUGUCAUAACAAUAUAAACUUUUUUGUACUCGGUGCAAAACUGUGGGAAGCCAGUGGCGUAGCUAUGUCAUUUCUACGUGUACGCCCAAACCUCGGUGAGGCUAAAGAAACUGCUGGUAGUGGAUAAGCGGGGGCAUGACUAAUUUCAGCUGAUCUACUGAUUGUUACCCCUCCGAUAUCCAAUUUAUCAUAAAUAAAUCGAAAUAUUUAUAUUUUCCGUGUUUCGUUACGAUCCGAUAUAAAUCAAAAUUGACUAGAACACACCCGUGAUAUUGCGGGUCCGUGACUGAAUUAAAGUAUACAACUAUGCGCAAGCCUUAUCUUAGUAUUAGUACUGUCAUCUGAUAAGUCAUGCCGAUUAUAAGAUACACAAUUUUCUCUGCUUUCAAAUCUUUCUGUUUGAACCCGUCGAACUGGAACUUAUCAAUUAUUGGUAAUAUUAAAUAUUUGGAAAACAAAAGUCCUGGAAUGGAGUAUUUUUUAAUUAACAGCAUUGUCCUAUAUUAGUUAUAAAUAAAGUUGAAUUCUUUGAUUCGCUGUUUUACGUCAUGCCCGCUAACAAAUUGAAACUUAUUUUUAGUCCAGAUUUUUAGUAUUCAAAUUGUUAUCUUAGAAAGUCUUACGGAUUAAAAUACUACAAUAGGUAACAAUUUGACAAUUUAGUAGUGUCAACCCUGUGAUUAUGACCUGUUUAUAUAGCAUAUUAAUCCUGAAUACACCGUUUGGUGGUGCGCCUGUCAGAUGCGGAACGUACAGAUAAGGUAAUAGGUAACAGGUGAUUAUACUAUUGGUAUCGGUAUCGGACUCGACCCGGAACUUCCUAAUUAUUGGCGAUAUUAAUUACGUGGAAAACAAAAGGGCCUGGAGUGGUGUAAUUUUUAAUCUACACCUUUGUACUAUAUUAGUUGUAUAUAAAGUUGAAUUCUUUGAUUCGUCGUAUUUACGUGAUGACGGCUGACAAAUUGGACCUCGUAAUUUAAGUAUUAUAGAUACAUGGUUUCAUUUGUGUAGUGCAGUGGCAAAUUCAAAAGGGACCCAUAAUUUAAAGAAUAAGCAUAUUUCUUACUAAAUAGAUUAGAGAGACCAAAAGAAUGACAGAACAUAGAAAUAUAGAAAUGAUGCAACCCCCCCCCCCCUAAAAACUCCCUGUUGGCCCUAAUCCAGACCCUCAUAUAUAUCACUGUGACAUAUAGUUUUGUUUAAUAUAUUUAAUUGUUUUUGUAUUCAAGAAGAAUAUUUUAUUUCUGUACAAAGAGUUGUUAAUAUAUGUAAUGGACAAUAUAUACCAUGCCCUGUCAGCCAGAGUGGUAAUAUAAUUUCAAUGAAAGAAAGUAUUUGAAAGAUUGACUCCCUGUGCAUUCGAUUAUUAAACGGUGGCCAGAUCGUCUGAUUUAAAUUGCCCUACAGAAAGUCCGACUGUUGGUAUAAAACUUAAAAAUGAACGAAAAACUUUUUGCUUCAGAAAUUAACCAUGAAAAAAAACUUUAAUUCGACGAAGGUUUCACGAAGUAAUUGAUAUGUAAUAAAUUUUAACCUUCGACUGUAAAUGCAAAAAGAAAUUCCUUUUAAUACAUAAAAUACGGGAAAACUCAUCAUAUAUAAUUUCGUCAUUAUGCUCUGGAUACUCAUUUGACCAUUAACAGUUUUUGUCCAGCUACAGUAAAAUUUUACGAAGGUUUGACAAAGUUAUUGAUAUCUUAAAACUUUAAAACUACAUAAUGAACCUACAUGUACAUAGUUAUAAUUUUGGCACCGUCGACGAAAUUUAGGAUCAAAAUGUCUCCUUUCGCGACAAACGUCAAUGGGUCGACAACAAAGUGCAAACCACUAUCAUACGUCCUUUCUUCCACCAGGUUCCGUGCAUCUCUCAGAACAUUUCCAGAAAGCAUGAUUUGCAUCAUUUGUUCUAUAGCUUCUUGGGCCUUCGUGUCCAAAACCCUUCAAAAAAUUUUUGCCUGCUUCGCUCGGCCAGAGUAGGUUUGCCAAAACAUUUAAAGUGCCUAGUUAUGACUAACUUAACUAUGUGUAUAUGCAGUUGAUUUAAAGAUUCAUUUCUGUAGGGGGAUGGUUAAUCUAAUAAAUGUUACAUAAUGACUUGACUAUUAAUGUAUUAUUUAUAAACAAAAUCUAAAAAAUUGUAUGUUUUCGAUAUCAAAAAAUAGUUGUGAAAUGAUAAAUCAGUCUUGCUUUAAUGAAUGAAAAUCUUGCUUCAAUAGUGCAGAAAAUGAAUAUGUCCUCUUAGUUUCAAAAAUAAUAACCGAUCAAAACAAUCUCCUGCCCCCCCCCCCCCCCAGAAUAUCAAAUGGUCGUCCCCUAGUAUAACUUUCUAGGAUUUGCUCUUUAUGGGUAAAUCUCAAUUCUCAUCAGUAUGGUUUUGCUUUACUGACUUAUAUUUGUUCUUGUGUGUAAAUCUCAAUUCUCAAUCAGUUUGGUGUUGUGCUUUAACUUUCUAAGAUUGCUCUUUGUGCGUAAUCUCAAUUCUCAAUCAGUUUGGUAUUGUGGUUUACAUUCUAGGUUUUUCUCUAUGUGUGUAAAUCUAAUUCACAAUAGUAUAAUGUUCCAGGAUUUGUUCUAUGUGUGUAAAUCUCAAUUCUCAAUUAGUAUAUUGUUUGUGGUAUAACUUUCUAGGUUUUGCUUUAUGUGUGUAAAUCUCAAUUCACAAUCAGUAUAAUGUUCCAGGAUUUGUUCUAUGUGUGUAAAUCUCAAUUCUCAAUCAGUAUAUUGUUUGUGGUAUAACUUUCUAUGAUUUGUUCUAUGUGUGUAAAUCUCAAUCAGUAUAUUGUUGUGGUAUAACUUCCUAGGAUUUGAUCUAUGUGUGUAAAUCUCAAUUCUCAAUCAGUAUAUUGUUGUGGUAUAACUUCCCAUGUUUGUUGGACAUUUUGACACUGACAGUACAUCAACAUGAAAUACAGACCUUCUAGAACAAUACAGAUCGACCCCAAAACAAUGCUUCAACCUUUUUCAUCAGUUAAGGGAAAUGGAAUAUAAACAAAGUCUUUGAAAACUUUGUAAUUUAUGUUCUAGAAGGCAACAUUGACUUUUCUCUGGUUUCCGUGCUUUCUAUGGCGAUUAUGACAUUUUGUUAAUUAUAAGUAACCUUAUACAGAAAUGAAGCCUUGCUUUAUGUUACUCUUUGGUGACGCAUCUGUGGUUCCGGAAACUAGUUUAGUAAUUAUACCAUGUUGCAUGCGAGAGUUAUAACAGAAUGAUAUAAAAGCUGUUAUUUAUUACGUGUAGAACCCAUCUUAGUUGUCAGUUUUCACGUUCUCAUCUUUUUAAUGUAUCGGUUUUGAUUUGAUAGUUUUCUUUUAAUAUCAAACAUUUCUAUUAUUCCAAAUUUUUUGCGUGCAACCAAAAGUGUGCAGAAGUUCUUCUGUUUUAAUACCUUUAAUGUUUAAUUUUCUGAUAUUAUAAAUCAUGGAAAGGACAGGGGAAAAUAUCUUCAAAGAGGUACUAAUUUUAUCAAAAGAUUAAAGCGGUAAUUUUGAAUGAUUAAUACUUGAAAGUGUUUCUAACAAACAGCUAAAAAAACAACAAAUAUUUGAAUAAUUUGCAAAAUAAAUCUAAUAUGAUUUCUUGCAAAGCAUUUCAAGGCAAAGCAAUGAGUUUAUAGGCUAUAAAUUGUAAUAUUAAAUAGUGCAGUAUAUGUGCUUUGUGAUUUCGGUACCUGAUAGAACCGUUAAUAUGAAUGAAUUAAAACAUUUCUGCCACGAAAUAUUACAGGCUAAAAAUGAUUUUGUUUGUAAUAAUGUAAACAACAGAUAGCAACGCUUUUAACUGAAGCAUACUGUGAACUGAUGUGGUACCAUUAUGAAACAUAAUAUUUACCAAGUUAAAUUAGUACUUGGUGAAAAAAUUGAGAAUGGAAAUGGGGAAUAUGUUAAAUAGACAAUAACCCGACCACAAAUCAGAUUACAGCCGAAGGCCACCAAAGGGUCUUCAACGCAGCGAGAAUAUCCCGCACCAUGAGGUGGGCCUCAGCUGGCCCCCAAAUAAUAAUGUGUACUAGUUCAGAUAAAAUGAAUGUCAUAAUAAACUCGAACAUAUACAAAUGAACCGAAAUUAAAAAAAAAAUCAAGAUCAACAAAGGUCAGAGGCUCCCAACUUGGGACAGCCGCAAACAUGCGGAGGGGGUAACAUGUUUUGGGAUAUCUCAACCCUCCCCUAAUACCUCUAGCCAAUGUAAAAUAAAGAAACACACAUCAAUACACUAAGUAAAACUCAGUUUAAAAGAAGUCCGAUUCCAAUGUCAGAAUAGAUAUAUAACAAAAGAUUCUAAGCAAAAUGACAAUGAUGCAUAAAUUAACAAAGGACUACUAGCAGUUACUGACGUGCCAGCUCCAGACCUCAAUUAUACUGACUGAAAGAUUAUGUCUUCAUCUUUCAAUUAGUUUAAUAUACUCUUCUUGGUUUCAAGUUAUUAACACUUUUGCUUUUGUCAUGUCUAUUUUAUUAAACCCCUCGGCCUAACUUAUUUUGAAUGAUAUUCAUGUUUUGAACACAGACUACGCAUGUGCAUGUCUUCUAUUUCAUUCACAAUCCAGCCUUCGAAAUCGUCCGUAUUUUUUUUUUUUUUUCAUUUUUAUACUGAGGUCAAAUGUCCGAGUUUUUUUUCUCAAAACUAGUCCAUUUUUUUAAUUUUAAAAAAUGCUAAUGAAAUAUUGCAUUUUGUUUGAUUGUAACAAAGGCUUUAAGCUCAAAUUAAUAUGAGCUUAAACGAAAUCACUUAAAAGAAAUAGCUCCGAAAUUGUAUAAUGAAAUAUUAAAUCCUUGUAAAUUGUUAAAAAAAAAAGAAAAAUGAAGACACAAAGUGGACAACAAAAAUCAAAAUUCAUAUGAAACAGAAAUACCAUUUCCAACCGAUUGGAUAGACAAACAAUUAUAAUUAUACAUGUAAUAACAAAAACANNNNNNNNNNNNNNNNNNNNNNNNNNNNNNNNNNNNNNNNNNNNNNNNNNNNNNNNNNNNNNNNNNNNNNNNNNNNNNNNNNNNNNNNNNNNNNNNNNNNNNNNNNNNNNNNNNNNNNNNNNNNNNNNNNNNNNNNNNNNNNNNNNNNNNNNNNNNNNNNNNNNNNNNNNNNNNNNNNNNNNNNNNNNNNNNNNNNNNNNNNNNNNNNNNNNNNNNNNNNNNNNNNNNNNNNNNNNNNNNNNNNNNNNNNNNNNNNNNNNNNNNNNNNNNNNNNNNNNNNNNNNNNNNNNNNNNNNNNNNNNNNNNNNNNNNNNNNNNNNNNNNNNNNNNNNNNNNNNNNNNNNNNNNNNNNNNNNNNNNNNNNNNNNNNNNNNNNNNNNNNNNNNNNNNNNNNNNNNNNNNNNNNNNNNNNNNNNNNNNNNNNNNNNNNNNNNNNNNNNNNNNNNNNNNNNNNNNNNNNNNNNNNNNNNNNNNNNNNNNNNNNNNNNNNNNNNNNNNNNNNNNNNNNNNNNNNNNNNNNNNNNNNNNNNNNNNNNNNNNNNNNNNNNNNNNNNNNNNNNNNNNNNNNNNNNNNNNNNNNNNNNNNNNNNNNNNNNNNNNNNNNNNNNNNNNNNNNNNNNNNNNNNNNNNNNNNNNNNNNNNNNNNNNNNNNNNNNNNNNNNNNNNNNNNNNNNNNNNNNNNNNNNNNNNNNNNNNNNNNNNNNNNNNNNNNNNNNNNNNNNNNNNNNNNNNNNNNNNNNNNNNNNNNNNNNNNNNNNNNNNNNNNNNNNNNNNNNNNNNNNNNNNNNNNNNNNNNNNNNNNNNNNNNNNNNNNNNNNNNNNNNNNNNNNNNNNNNNNNNNNNNNNNNNNNNNNNNNNNNNNNNNNNNNNNNNNNNNNNNNNNNNNNNNNNNNNNNNNNNNNNNNNNNNNNNNNNNNNNNNNNNNNNNNNNNNNNNNNNNNNNNNNNNNNNNNNNNNNNNNNNNNNNNNNNNNNNNNNNNNNNNNNNNNNNNNNNNNNNNAUGAUUAUUGUUCUAAUUGAUUUCCACAAUGUCAUGUCAUUUAUCUGUACUGUCAGUCUAACUCCAGUUCAAAUUUCAAACAUUUAGUGAUGAUUUACCAAUAUGUUGUGGAGAAAUCAGAUAGCUCAUUAGAUGUAGUUUUUUCUCUCUCAUAUUAAACCAUUUUAAUAAUGAUAGAAUAUAUUCAUAAUGAAUUGUAUAGAUGCCUUUGGUGACAUACAAACUUAUAUAUUUAAUAUAUCUCUUAGACAAAAGAAAUGUCAUUUAGCUUUGAUAACCUAUGCUAAGCAUACUGUUAUUUUAAGUUAAUAGGAGGAAAUUACCAGCCCACAUACAAAUGACCUAAGUUCUUAGCAAAUCUUGUUUUAUUCACAUAUUUUACAAUGCCUGUCUUAAAAUGCAAUCAUCACAUCUUAUUUCCAGGAUAUCUAUAGUAUUACAGAGCCAUUUGAUAACUGGCGCUCCUGUUUAUGGCUCUGAUCAUAUUAAAGCCAAAACAGUUUUAAUGUCUUCUAUAAUUAUGGUAUUCCAAAUAUUGUUCAUUGAAAGAUUCUCGAGGGAUCUUGAAUGAAUUCUAGUGAGCAUCAGCUGUUAAUGGAAUACUCUAAUACUGCAGAUUUUUACGAUGCUCAUAGUGACGAAUUCUUCACUCGAUGAUAAAUUGGUAGUUGCACUUUCAGUUGAAUUCACACUGUAAACUAAAUUAUUUCUCCGUUACGUUAUAUAAACUUUGUUUGAAUCAAAGUGAUCAAGACAAAAUCGUUUGAUUUGUUCUGAAUUAAACAUAAAUUUCUUAUUCUGUCAAAGUUAGAAGUGUUUUGUGUUUUUUGUUUUGUUACAUUGUAACACUGAAUAGUUUCUCGUUAAAAACAUUUGUUUUCAUUAAGCUUGAUUAAGUAAAUAAAGAGAAAUAUUUUUAUAUUUUCCACAUGAAUUUUGCAUGACAAAUAAUAAGCUGCUAUUUAUUUUGAACUGUGAAAAUAUGGAAAUUUUGUAAGGAAAGUGUGAAAAGCUAAUUUAGAUUGCUGUCCCUAUCAAAAUUUAGAUAUGAGAUCUUUACACUGUCAGUGUUAGAUUUAUUGACAAAUUUUUGUUCCAUUAACUAAGUUUUAUAGAAAUUCCAAAAAUAAAUGGAUACAUUUUAUUUUAAUAUUUAAUACAGGUUAAAAAAAUGAAUUCAUAACAUAAAGGAAUUUGAUUAGUGUUGACAUCAAAAGUAUUUUUGCAAAAAUAUUGUUUUUUUUUACUAUAUCCCUUAUACAAUCCUGUCCAUUAUUGUUUCAAUUUUUUUCUGUUAUGUAAUAUUUCACUCUCAUAUUAGAUAUUAUAUACCCAAUCAUAAAUUUAUGAUUAUGCAUUGUAGACAGAGUGGUAACCUGUGAAAACAUUGACUUUGUUGCUCAGUAUGAUUAUUGCUUUGAACACAUUUAAGCAAAAUAAUCUCUCCUGGCCAAAUUAUAUAUUUCCUUAUUGAAUUCUUAACAGACUAUCAUUUUGAAUUAUUUCUUAUAUUAUAUUUUAUAUAUGUCUGAAAAUAUGAUCAAAUGAUUUAUAAAAUAAAUUUCUUAACACAGGUCAGCCAUUUAUUGUGCCCUUCCAACGGACUAUUAUCGUUUUAUCAAGACAAUACUCUUUGAAAUUUAUUAUAGAUAUAGAAACUUAAGGAACCAAAAAUGAUCCGCAAGACAAGUCCUACUUACUGCCCUUUUGCGAUUUUUUCUAAUUUCAAAGAGUGAAAUUUUAACAGAAACAAAAUUAUCAACUUUACAAGAUGAACAAAAAAGAUCAAAGUUAUAGAAUGAAUAUAGAAGUUCAAAUAUAUAGGUGAGAGAAACUAGCUAUUCAGACCCUCUCCUUUUAUACCACAUAGAAAAUACAAGAAAAGUGUAUAUAAUUCUUGAAGAAUCCAUGAAUUGAAUAUUGUUUUUAUUGGGCUUGUUGAUCUAAUGACUUUCUUUAAAAACUUUAUUUAAAUAUGUCUGAUUAGGUAAUGCAUUUAUGUCUGGUUUUUAGAGGAAAAUAUAUUCAUGGAUUGUUGAUGUUUGAGGCGGAAUUAGUUUAUUUUUUAUUUGUCUGAUGUAACCUGUUUUUAGCAGUGAUUCUUUACAACAGCCGAGCUCUAAUGUCCUGCUAAAAGAUUGUCAGAAUCCACAAAUUACAUCUAAAUUCAAUUAACUUAGGUCAUUACUGUAUGAUGAUAGUGGUGUAUCUUUAUUUGGUGAAAACGUGGUGGAAGUUGUAAAAACUAAUCAUUUCCCAGAUCAAAUCUUACGGAAAUUUGUCAAACUAUCUCUUAACUCAUCUUCUGUGAAACAGUCAUGUCAAUCAAUGUCGCAAUUUAUUUUGAGUUGGCGGAAACAGAUCAGGCAAAAGAGUUAUCAUUUAAAUUAAAAUCUUUAGGAUGAAACAAAGCAAAUAUAAUGUUUGGGUGAAUACACUAAAAGAAAUGAAAUGAGUUUAAACCACUGAAAGAACAGUUUGAUGAACAAGUUUUUGUUCAAUUAGGGAUAUAGUGUUUAACAGUAAUUUAUAUGUAAAUAGAUGUCUUAAAUUAUUGAAUCAUUGAAUUCAAUUAAUACUGCAGAUUGAACUGAAAAAAUAUAGAUAAAGACUAUGUAACAUUCAGGUUCAAAGUCUCAUCCUCCUGAAAAAAGAUAUAGGGAUUGAGUACGGAUUUUCUCUAAUUUUUAUUGUCACUAAAAAUAUAAUUUGUAUAAAGAAAUGACAUUGACAACAUAAGCUGAAAGCUAUGGGUAGGUCCCUUAACAUUACAAAUCCAAUCAUAUAAUACAUUGUACUUUGAAAUUUGAUGUCAGAUAUUUUCCAUUAAAAAAUCUAAACCUAAUUUGGAAAAACCUGCAUAAGGUUUAAUGGCCACACUAGCAUUAUUUUCUUAUAUUUCCAUCCAACUGUCUAUCAAACAUUUUUCCAUUUAUAUUUAUAAUCCAUUUCAAAUAUUUCUUAAAACUUCAAGCUAAUUUUAUGAUACUAUAGGCACUGGAACUUUAAAUCUCAAAGACUUUCAACUUUAAAUAAGUUGUAAUCAGUAAAGCAAGCAUUUCACUUCUCAUUUGGAGAAAUGUCUCAUAAUUGUUUUGUGUGCCAGAAAAAAAACUGGUGAGGGGCAUAAAGGGGGUGUGUGUGUGAUCUGCACAGAAGAACUCGAAAUAAAAUUGCCAUUUCAUGAUGAACGGAACAGUUAAAAAUGUCCUGCAACGUUGAUCUUUUUACCGAUUUCAUGAAACACGGUGAAUAACGAACCUUUUUCACAGUUGCACGUAAAAUAAAAAUGGCAAAACACAUUGCAUGAAAAUAACCCUUUAUUACCCUCUAUGGUCUUUCAAAACUUUUAUCUGAAAUAACUUGUAUGGCAAGGAUUCUAUCAUACUAUUAUGAUGUCAUACAAUGCAAUUCACUUAGUUUUGUAUCUAGUGCCCUGUAAUGUUAUCAUGCUAAUAAAAUGAUUACAUUAAGAAGUUCUGAUAGAUCCCACAUUAUGUUUUAUCUCCGUUAAUUAAUUUUACAUUAGUUCAGAAAUGGAUGUUCCUUUUAGAGCAACUACGUCUGAGAACAUGAAUUGUAUUCCUUGUAUCUUUUACACAUCAAAAGAAGACGAAAGUUACUUGGGCGGGUUAGAAAAAAGCAGGCUUUCAACAUUCUACUAUUUUAUUGAUGGUUAAAACUAAUUACAAAGAGAGAAUGGAAAUCAAUGUAAGAUAACAAUAUAAAUCCAUCAUUAUUUCCUUAUUUUAUAAUCAGAUAUGAUGAGUCUGUAAUAGCAUCUUUAUCCAGCUUUAAUACAAUUCAUGACUUUCAUUUUAAAACCUAAACAAUUAGCUUCAUCAAUGUUCAUGACAGGGAUGUAUGUAACUGUCCUUCUUAUAUAACACGUUCAUGAUUUCUCAGUUAAUAUUCAUUGCCAUGAUCAUAAGUGUUCAUACAGACACAAAUUUAUUAAAUGUAAUAAAAAUGUAAUUAAUUGUAAUAAUUUAAGGUUGAUUUUAUUAUUGGGAAGCAGGCUGAUGAUUUAUAUGUAUAAUUAUUAUCCUAUGUACAUGAUUUAAUUAUGAAAUUUAAUAAGAUAAGGCUACAAGCCUACAAGGGGAGAUUAAUAUUACCUAGCUAUUUUCUUCAUUCCAUAAUGUCUUUAUAAAUGAUAGAAAAUUAAUGUAUAUGGUAUAUAUGAAAAAUGAUAUUCAAGUAUCAAUUAGAAAAUGCAAUUAGAAGAAUAUACUUUAAAUAAGACUGUAAUUAAGCUUAUUCCCUUAGGAGAUUAGGAUGAUAAAAAUGUACCUUGAUCCUCGGAAUUUGCUACUAAUAUUAAAUACAUGUAAUGAUCUUCUUUGUUUGGCAUUUCACUUGAGGACAAAUUUAGUUAUUUAACAGUUAAUCAUACAAUAAUUAAAUCUUUGUAAGAUAUGUCCUUUGGGAAGAUGUUAUGAUGAAAACAAUUUUCCACGUCCACUUGUAUUUUUGUCCAUCUGAUGAGUUAAGCCUUUUUCAACUGAUUUUUAUAGUUCGUUCUUAUGUUGUACUGUUAUACCACUGUCCCAGGUUCGGGGAGGGUUGGGAUCCCGCUAACAUUGUUUAACCCCGCCACAUUAUUUAUGUAUGUGCCUGUCCCAAGUCAGGAGCCUGUAAUUCAGUGGUUGUCGUUUGUUUAUGUGUUACAUAUUUGUUUUUCGUUUAUUUUUUUUUACAUAAAUAAGGCCGUUAGUUUUCUCGUUUGAAUUGUUUUACAUUAUCUUAUCGGGGCCUUUUAUAGCUCACUAUGCGGUAUGGGCUUUGCUCAUUGUUGAAGGCCGUACGGUGACCUAUAGUUGUUAAUGUCUGUGUCAUUUUGGUCUUUUGUGGAUAGUUGUCUCAUUGGCAAUCAUACCACAUCUUCUUUUUUAUAUAUUCUAUAAAUGUUUCGAUUGUUCUCAAGAAUAAUUUUUAAGUCACCCUUAAGAUAUUAAUGUCAUUAAUAUAAGUAGCUAAAUAUAUAUAUAUAUAUUUGCCAAUUAAGGAUAUUACUAACUGAUGAAUUAUAUGGUAGGUAUAUAUACUGGACUAGAUGAUUGGUUACAGCUUUUACAUUAAUGCUAGCAAGACAAAUCUUUGUUUGGCUUGCUUGCUUUGUUUGCAUCAAUGUUUGCUCAAGCAUAGCAAUUAAGAUAGGUGGGGCUUCAGCUUGUAUACAUCAUACUUAAAUUUUAUUGGACGUUAUGUUUGAGGUUAAGGACACCAAAUUUUAAAACAUCACAGGAUGACAAUAUAAAGCGCAAUCGUAGAAAUGGAAGCAAAAAAAAAAAAUAAAAAAAUUUCGAAGAUGUGCAUUUUCAGCAUCCAACUUAAAAGACUGUCGUCAAGUACUUUUAGAAAAACAAAAUAGCUAUUCGAACACACCUACUCUGAUUUUGUGAUUCAUUACAAAGGUAUUUCUUUUGACCCAUAUAUUUCAUAUUUUAGUACUGUGACUUUUUAUGUUAUAAAGUCAACCUGUAGCUUUGCUAUAUAAAAAUGAUAGAAUUUGAAGCGAGGUGAUGUAUCAAAUUCUCUUGCUUUGUGCGUUUUCAAGACAAAAUAUUCAUCUCAAACACACCCUAACAUAAGAAGGUACACUCGAUUUUCUCUUUUCGAUACAAUUGUUACCCAUUUUUGGAUUUUUUUUCUUGAGUUACAUAAUGGAAGGACAGACACGGAAAUAACUGAACUUAUAGGUUGAUAUGUUCUCCGUCCGUGGUAAUUUUAAAAAAAAUCGAAGGUUAUGCAUUUUCUUCGUCCAACUUGAUAGAUACCCAUGUCGUCGACUUGAUAUCCAAUUGUUCUGCUUAACUAUGUAAUAGAUAAAUUGAAAACUUAUGCAAAUGUUGGUUUUGUUAACAAUAAAACACUUUGUAUUUGAAAAGAAAAGUGUUUUUUUAUUUGUUUUUAUUAACCUUUCAAAAAUUUGGUAACUAUACAAAAAUCAUUUAUCGCCUUUUCAAUAAACAAACAAUAAUCAGUUUGAAGGUUUACAAGCAGAAAUUAAUCCAAAGGGUUAAAUGGACAUAAUAAGUAAUAGGGAUAAAUUAAGAAGGGGGGGGGGCAAAUGACAGAAUAUUACAAGUUCAUUAUUUCAACAUUUUUGCAAUUAUGAAUAAAUAAUUGUUAACAAAAUGUUUUACUAGAAAUUGGAAUAUAGAAAGUGUGGACAUCAAAAGUUUACUUAAUAAUUAUACAGACAAUGCGCCCUUUUACAAAACAUUAAUUGUUUCACAAAUAAAGUAAAAUAAUUUCUUAAAACAUAGCAAAACAAAUCGGUCUGAUUGGUAGAAUUUCACAUGAGCCGUGGUAUAUAGCAAACAUCUUAUUCCCCCACUUAUUUUUAUCACACACAUCAUUAUUUUUUUUUAUACUCAACUAGUUGUGUUUAUUUCCUUAAUAUAGUAACCUAACUAUAUUUUGCAUAAUGUCAAUUUCUCAUCAUGGAACACUUUCUCCACAAUAAGGGGUUCAUUACGGGAUAAAAAUGAGUUUGACAAUUGUGUUGUUACUCAUUUAAAAAGCUAUCAGUGUAUAGUAACUAUUUGUUUAAGUUGCAGUAUAAAAACAAUAUUAGGUCAAUGUCAUAACAAUAUAAACUUUUUUGUACUCGGUGCAAAACUGUGGGAAGCCAGUGGCGUAGCUAUGUCAUUUCUACGUGUACGCCCAAACCUCGGUGAGGCUAAAGAAACUGCUGGUAGUGGAUAAGCGGGGGCAUGACUAAUUUCAGCUGAUCUACUGAUUGUUACCCCUCCGAUAUCCAAUUUAUCAUAAAUAAAUCGAAAUAUUUAUAUUUUCCGUGUUUCGUUACGAUCCGAUAUAAAUCAAAAUUGACUAGAAACACACCCGUGAUAUUGCGGGUCCGUGACUGAAUUAAAGUAUACAACUAUGCGCAAGCCUUAUCUUAGUAUUAGUACUGUCAUCUGAUAAGUCAUGCCGAUUAUAAGAUACACAAUUUUCUCUGCUUUCAAAUCUUUCUGUUUGAACCCGUCGAACUGGAACUUAUCAAUUAUUGGUAAUAUUAAAUAUUUGGAAAACAAAAGUCCUGGAAUGGAGUAUUUUUAAUUAACAGCAUUGUCCUAUAUUAGUUAUAAAUAAAGUUGAAUUCUUUGAUUCGCUGUUUUACGUCAUGCCCGCUAACAAAUUGAAACUUAUUUUUAGUCCAGAUUUUUAGUAUUCAAAUUGUUAUCUUAGAAAGUCUUACGGAUUAAAAUACUACUAUAGGUAACAAUUUGACAAUUUAGUAGUGUCAACCCUGUGAUUAUGACCUGUUUAUAUAGCAUAUUAAUCCUGAAUACACCGUUUGGUGGUGCGCCUGUCAGAUGCGGAACGUACAGAUAAGGUAAUAGGUAACAGGUGAUUAUACUAUUGGUAUCGGUAUCGGACUCGACCCGGAACUUCCUAAUUAUUGGCGAUAUUAAUUACGUGGAAAACAAAAGGGCCUGGAGUGGUGUAAUUUUUAAUCUACACCUUUGUACUAUAUUAGUUGUAUAUAAAGUUGAAUUCUUUGAUUCGUCGUAUUUACGUGAUGACGGCUGACAAAUUGGACCUCGUAAUUUAAGUAUUAUAGAUACAUGGUUUCAUUUGUGUAGUGCAGUGGCAAAUUCAAAAGGGACCCAUAAUUUAAAGAAUAAGCAUAUUUCUUACUAAAUAGAUUAGAGAGACCAAAAGAAUGACAGAACAUAGAAAUAUAGAAAUGAUGCAACCCCCCCCUCCCCUAAAACUCCCUGUUGGCCCUAAUCCAGACCCUCAUAUAUAUCACUGUGACAUAUAGUUUUGUUUAAUAUAUUUAAUUGUUUUUGUAUUCAAGAAGAAUAUUUUAUUUCUGUACAAAGAGUUGUUAAUAUAUGUAAUGGACAAUAUAUACCAUGCCCUGUCAGCCAGAGUGGUAAUAUAAUUUCAAUGAAAGAAAGUAUUUGAAAGAUUGACUCCCUGUGCAUUCGAUUAUUAAACGGUGGCCAGAUCGUCUGAUUUAAAUUGCCCUACAGAAAGUCCGACUGUUGGUAUAAAACUUAAAAAUGAACGAAAAACUUUUUGCUUCAGAAAUUAACCAUGAAAAAAAACUUUAAUUCGACGAAGGUUUCACGAAGUAAUUGAUAUGUAAUAAAUUUUAACCUUCGACUGUAAAUGCAAAAAGAAAUUCCUUUAAUACAUAAAAUACGGGAAAACUCAUCAUAUAUAAUUUCGUCAUUAUGCUCUGGAUACUCAUUUGACCAUUAACAGUUUUUGUCCAGCUACAGUAAAAUUUUACGAAGGUUUGACAAAGUUAUUGAUAUCUUAAAACUUUAAAACUACAUAAUGAACCUACAUGUACAUAGUUAUAAUUUUGGCACCGUCGACGAAAUUUAGGAUCAAAAUGUCUCCCUUUCGCGACAUAAACGUCAAUGGCUCGACCAAAAUGGCAAACCACAUAUCGAAUCUUAGCUCAUAAUGAAUUGCUUUAAAAAAAAAAAAGGGGAAAGUGAGUAUAGAAUUCACGGUAGGUUUAGAAUUUGACAGAAAUAAUAUGAUACUAAUUUUUGUCACUUUAUUCGCAAUUAUAAGCCAUUGAAGAAAGACUUAGAAGGUUGAUGUAUUGUUAACCAAUUCUUUUAUCUAUAAUAGAUGAUUUUUUUUUUUACCAAAUUCAAGUGUACGCCCGGGUGUUUUAAACGUAGCUACGCGCAUGGAAGCCAGUUUCUCAGCCUCAUACAAGAAAAAAGUUUAUAUUUUUCUUUCAUUGACCAAAUAUUGUAUUUUUGCAGGUAAGGAAACAUGUGAGAAUAUUUGUCAUCCUGUGAUGUUUAGUGUCCUUAACUUCAAACAUAACGUCCAAUAAAAUUUAAGUAUGAUGUAUACAAGCUGAAGCCCCGCCUUUCUUAAUUGCCUUUCUUAAUUGCCAUGCUUGAGCAAACAUUGAUACAAACAAAGCAAGCAAGCCAAACAAAGAUUUGUCUUGCUAGCAUUAAUGUAAAAGCUGUAAUGACACAUGAGUUUAUUUGUUAGGAUAAUAGACUCUGUUUGAUUGGUUGAUAAGACAUGAAUUUACAUGAUAGGAAUACUAGACUCUGUGAUUGGUCGAAAAGUCAUGAGUUUAUAUGGUAGAAAUAAUGGACUCUGAUUGGUUGAUAAGACAUGACUUUAUAUGGUAGGAAUAAUGAUUCAAGAUUUCAGCUUUAUUUUUUUAUUUUUUUUUUAUGAAAUAUUGUGCUUGUCCAUGAAAUUUUGUCACCUCCUUCUGGACAAUAUUUCACUAUGAAAUUCUGUUCAUGACAAUACUUCACUAUGAAAUACUGGCUUUGAAAAUAUUUUUUAAUCAAAUUAUUUCACAAUUAGAAAUAGUACACAAACAUGCAACAUGCACAUUUUUAGAUUUAUAACUGAAAUUGUUUUGUUUAGUAGAGAAUUUAUAUUAUUACUAAUAGUGAGUUUCAAAUUUGCAUAGAAACAUUACAAAUGGUUUAUUAUAGAUUAAAGAAUUGUCUAAAAUAGGUUUCAUUUUUUUUACAUUAUACUGUACAAAUAUAAGUAAUGUACUGACAAUUGCUUAUUUUGUAAAUAAAUACACAGGCACAUGUCGCAGAAAAAAAUCCUAUAUACAUGAAUAAUUGUUGAUAACCUCCCCUUCAUGAGACAAAAUUCCAUGACAAUCUGUGUAUGAAAUAUUGUCUCAAUACUCACGAAAUAUAACCAAAAUAUAACCUCCCUUUAACAGGACAUAAUUUUGUAGUAUUUAUCUAUGAAAUAUUGUCUUAAUUCACACAAAAUAUAACCUCCCUCUAACAAGACCAAAUUCCAUUCUGUGAAAUAUUGUCUAUAUACAGACACAAUUUCACUAUGCAAAUUUGUUCUUCUCUGGACAUUUUUCCAUAGACGAGGACAAUAUUUCAUGAUACAUAGUUAUGAAAUAUUGUCUUGUGGUACAAUAUAUAUUUCAUAGGACAAUAUUUUGCUUUACAAUAACACAUUAGUUAAUAAUAUGUUAGGAAUAAUAGACUCUGAUUGGUUGAUAAUACAUGAGUUUCUAUGACAGGAAUACUAGACUCUGAUUGGUUGAUAAUACAUGAGUUUAUAAUAUGAUAGAAAUAAUGGACUCUGAUUGGUUAUAACACAUGAGUUUAUAUGAUAGAAAUAAUAGACUCUGAUUGGUUAAUAACACAUGAGUUUAUAUGAUAGGAAUAAUAAUAAUAAUAAUAAUAAUAAUCUUUAUUUCAAGAGGGUAUGCUCAAUUAGUACAAACACUAUUCUCCCUUGAGGCCCUCACACUCCACUCACAAUGCAAUUCACACAAUUUCUUCAAAAUUGGAAUACUAGACUCUAAUUGGUUAAUAACACAUGAGUUUAUAUGAUAGGAAUACUAGACUCUAAUUGGUUAAUAACACAUGAGUUUAUAUGAUAGGAAUACUUCUAUUUUGUUGGUCAAUAAGAAAUGAGUUUAUAUGGUAGGAAUACAAAACUUUCUGAUUGGUUAACCAUGUAAUGAAUGCUAGUAUUCACAUUUAAAAUACACUUGUAUAUUUUUUAUUUGUAAAUUGUGUAUACUACAGUGGCAAAGUACAGAAUACAGAAUAAAUCUCAAUGAUAAAGUCCUAUUAAUGGAUUUCCUUCUAUGAUGGUAGAAAGUACAGGAAUACUUUUAAAGUAGAUUGUAUUGCUAUUUAGAAUGAGAUUGCUUUUUCUAUAAGUUACAGUAAUAAUGAGUAUAUUCUAGACUUAUCUGCAAGCUGAUUGAUAACCUUUUGAUAUUUGUUAGUUAUUUCUAUAAUAAUAGUGACUGGUAUUUAUCAUGGCUGCCAUUUCUGUCUGGUCAGAAUCAUUUUAUUCAUUUUUUAUGCAUGAUCAUGGAGUUCAGAACUAAUAUAUUGUAAUACCCAGAUCAAUGAUGACCUUUGUCUGUCCUUGACUGUCUUACAAUAUCAGAAGUAUUUGUUCUGAGACAGUUACUAGAUGGUCAUCUUACUCCUUCCAUUGAAUGAUUAACUUAAUCAUUGAACUUUCUUCAGUAAUAACAUAAAAAAAAAAACACCUUUACAUUCAUCUAAAGGGAGUUGGCUUCUCGUUUCAAAAUAAUUAACUUUCAAAACACUAGCAUAUAUUGAUAGGGGAGUAAUAAAGGAACCAAAAGAGCAAAAAAAUAUAUAAGUAACCGUGCUUGUUUUCGAGAUAUUAGCCAUUGAAAUUUUGGCUUGAAAAUGUUCUCUCUUGAAUUUUCAUAGCAUUAUAAUUCAGUCUUCAAAAACUAAUAUAAAAUAGUUAAAAUUUUAUAAGACUUUAACAGACAGCUUAUUAUCAUACAUGUAAAAGAAUUAUAAAAAGAAAAAUGGGGGUCACCGGGAUUAAUUUGUUAUGGCAUGCAAAUGGAUAAAACCAGAGAAUAGACAUAUUUACACUUGUAUGCAAAUUUGUCCGCCAUUACAUAAAAUCACACAGGUUCCUGUAAACUUUGACAUCAUAAUUCAAAACAUUUGACGUCACAAAUAAAAAGGGAUUGUUGCUUGACGUCAAAAGGUUAUUCGGAGGUGAUAUAAGGUCAUUCGGAGGCAAAAUACAGCUAAAGACCAAAAUUGUAAAUAUGUUUAUUCCGAAAAUCUGACAAAAAUUCCCAAAAAUGACACACAAGCUUCCUUAAAAUAAUAAAAGACAUCUCAUUGGAUUAAGCAACAAUGAUUUUUGGGUAGGAGUCUUUUUUUAAAAGACACAAAAUAAUGUUACGGGAAGUUCAGAGUGAAUCUUGAAACUUAUUUGCUAGUUAAAAAUCAUGAUUUUUAAGUCUCCCAAACAAAGUUUGGAGACUUAUUGUUUUUGGUCAGUUCUUAUUAUUUUUAUUAUUCUUCUUCUUCCUCUUCCUCUUCCUCUUCCGCCACUUUAAAAAUGAAACUUGUCCGCAGCGUUUCUCCAAAAACGCUUGUCAGAUUUGAUAGGAUUUCGUAAAAUGGUAGACUAAUAUGUCUAGGUGAGCCAUCAAUCUUUCGUUUGUGCAUUGGGGUCUAUUAAGGGCUAUUUUGGGGGGUAGAAAGAAGGGAGGGUUUUACUAUAGAACCCUAUGGGAUUUUAUUUUCUAAAAAUUUCAAAUGAACAUAACUUGAAAACUGUAAGUGGUAGAUACAUGCAGUCUUCAGAAAUGAUUAUAGGACAAUAAAACAAAUCACAUGAAAUAUAGGGGGAGUCCCUGGGAGUUCAUCCCCACCCCCUUCAAUUUGAGAAUAUGCUUAUAUCUUGUAACCGAUCCAGAUCCCCACCCCUAAACCAUAUAUAUUCCUGAUUGGGACAAUAAAACAAAUCAAAUGCAAUUAAAGGACGGUCCCAUGGGGUCAUCCCCACCCCGUUCAAUUUCAUAAUGUGCUAUUAUCUUGUAAAUGGUCCAGAUCCCCACCCCUAAACCAUAUAUAUUCUUGUAGGGGACAAUAAAACAAAUGAAAUGAAGUUAAAGGGAAGUCCCUGGGGGUUCACCCCACCCCUCUUGUUUGAAAACUGUAAACUGUCAACAUCCCCACCCCUAAACCAUAUAUAUUCUUGUAGGGGACAAUAAAACAAAUGAAAUGAAAUAAGAGGGAAGUCCCUAGGGGUCACCCCACCCCCUCUUGUUUGAAAACUUGUAAACGGUCAACAUCCCCACCCCUAAACCAUACAUAUUCUUGUAUGGGACAAUAAAACAAAUCACAUGAAAUUAAAUGGAAGUUCCUGGGGGUCACCCCCACCCCGUUCAAUUUGAGAAUGUACUAUUAUCUUUUAAGCGGUCCAGAUCCCCACCCCCUAAACCAUAUAUAUUCUUGUAGGGGACAAUAAAACAAAUGAAAUGAAAUAAAAGGGAAGUCUGGAGGGGGUCACCCCACCCCCUCUUGUUUGAAAACUUGUGAACGGUCAACAUCCCCACCCCUAAACCAUAUAUAUUCUUGUAGGGGACAAUAAAACAAAUGAAAUUAAAUUAAAGGGGUUUAAUUGUUAUCUUUUAAAUUCCAGGGUUUCCUGGGGGUCCCACCCUGUUUUAAUUUUGAGAAUGUUAUCUUUUAAAAAUCAGAUCCCUCACCUAAAACCAUAUAUAUUCUUGUAGGGGACAAUAAAACAAAUCAAAUGAAAUGUAGGUAACUUCCCUAGGGGAUCACCACCACCCCCUCCUGUUUGAAUACUUGUAAAUGGUGGAGAUCCCUACUCGUAAGCCAUAUAUAUUCUUGGGACAAAAAAUCAAAUCAAAUGAACAUAUGAAUGGCGAGUUAUGGGAGCUUUGUUUGGGAGACUUCGUAACAGCAUCCUGUUACAAUUACUUCUUGUUUACUUUCUACUUUCAGGUAGUUUUUAUUCAACUUAUCCUCGCCAUCGAACACUCAUCAGUAUUAACAAAAGACACACAGGAAAAACAAAUAAAGAGUUCAAUCUCCGCCAUGACUGGAACUCUCUUUUGAGUGAUGAUGAAUCUUUGCUCUUCCGACAUUACUCAAAAGACAUGUUCCCACAUGCAGAUGUCCUUUUGAAAUAUUUAGAGGAUUACACGAAAAAACUAAAUAUCAAUGUACAGUAUAAUACAAAUGUCCGAAAUAUUAUAAAAUAUAAAAGUGAUAGAACAUUUGCAAAACAUGAAUAUAUGUAUGAAUUUGAUGACCAGAAUAACAACAGAUAUAAAUGUUCGUAAGUAUAUAUUACAUCUGUAUAUAUAAGCCAUGCUUUUUGGUCAAGUUGUAUAAACAAAGUCUGUCUAGGUUUUGAAAUUUAUGAAUGCUAUUUGGUCACAGACCACAAUUAAAUUCCUCUGUUAGUUCUUGAUAACGAUUUAAUGAUCAUUAAAAAAAAGGCACCAAUUACUUUUUGUCAAAUAUUGUGUGUGUGCAAAGUACAGUACUAGUCAAAAAAAUAUACAUAUCAAACAUGCAGAAAGAUUAAAUUCAUUCCACUUACAAUUUUAGCCAAUAUACAUCCAUACCCCUAUGGACAAGUCAAGAGAUGUUCUGAAACUUUAAAUAUGACCUUUUUGCACCUGGCCUGAUCACUCUUUCCUUAUCAAAAGCAGUUAAAAUACAACAUCCAAAAAAAUUUAUUUCACCUCUCUUCUUUCAUAUCACCCCCUCCCCCCCCCAAAAAAAACCCCAAAGAAAUGACUAGAAAAAAAAAAUAAAGAAAAAAUGUACUUUAAUUAAAAGGAACUAUAUUUGUAGACAACGGGGUCAUUAGUGUGGUCUUUGGUCAUCUGGAUAUCUGUGCAUUAUUUUCAAUAACAAAUUAUGUUUUAGCCUUUCUGGGUCAAAGGUCAAGGACACAGCAGCUUAAGAUAGUCUGAAGUUUCAUCAAACUUUUUUUUUCAAGACCUUAUCUUUUGAACAAUAUCUGUUGAACUUUUACCAAACUUUGAUGAGGAACACCCCUUUUGAUUUAGGGGUCAACAAACUAAAUGUCAAAGAAACAACUGCUACUAAUAAACUGAACUUUACUUUAUAGAUGUUAUUCUUCUAAUAAUUUGUCCAACUUCUAAUGAAUUUAGUGUGGUAAUGCCCCAUUGGAUGAACACAAUGACCUCUAUGAAUUUUGAGGCCUGUAGGUCAAAGGUAAAGGUCACAGCAGCAAUUGGUAAUCUUAUAUUUUGGCAAAAUUUUGGUUUGAGGCUGAUAUCUUUUGAAUUAGAUAUAAAACAUUCAGCAAACUUUAAAAGGCCCCUUGGAAAGAGCAAGCCACCUGUAGAAUUUUGGUCAGUAAGUAAAAACUUAAAGUCAUUGUCACAAGACCAAGUUUCUGUCAAAGGAACAUUUGUAGCAAUAUGAACUCACUAUCAGACCUGAAACAAGACAUUUUUUAAGGGGUACAGUUUAUAGUAUUGUUAUGCUUCAACAGGGAUUAAUAAUAUAGUUUUAUUUAUAGGUUUUAGAAAGUUGCAUCACUAUUGUAUGUCAGUUGCUUAGGGUUUAUUGUAAAAUUUAAAUUAUAGCUUAACAGUUACUGUAGCUGCAAAUUGUGAUUCUUCCUUAUUGGUAUUACAGAGUGCUUAUAAUAGCUACUGGAUUAUGGGUACCUAACAUUCCAGAUUUAACAGGUAUUGACUAUGCAGUAGGAUACGAAACAAUGUCCAUAAACCCUGAUGACUAUGAGGGGAAAAAUGUCCUUAUUCUUGGUAAGAUAAUUAUCAUAAGAUACAUGUAGUACUUUACUAACACCAUACAUAUUUGGAUAAUCUUGACUCUUUUCUUUGUCAAACCUUAUAAACAUUUUUCAGAAUUACAUCUUAUAACAUGUUGACAAUUAAGUGUUUCAAAGAAGAAUCAUGGGUAAGUCAUUGUCAUACAACAAAAUAGAAAUAGUUUAGAGUAUACUAUUGGAUUAAUAUCCAUUGUUCUGGCUGUUGUUGUCAACCAAUCACAAUGGUUUCAUCUUUGCUUUUGAAAUUAUUACCCAGAGACAUUAAAUUUUGAAUUGGUUACUUGAGGAGGGAACUCACAAAAAAAAGUAAAUAAACACUUAUUUAGUCAAUAGAGAAUUUGAACUGCUUUUUUUACUGGGUUAUAGUUUUUGUCACAAUUAAGAAGGUGUAAACAGCUCCUUUUAUAACUUGUUAUUAGUUGUAAGCCAGUGAAUCAUAAAUAUUAAGAACGUCUGAUUCAUUACAAAAUGGUAACCAUCCUUGAAAUAGUUGUCCCUGAAGGCUUUAUGAUGUGACAUACUGGAACGUUCAUUAAAUGUAAAUUUUUAUGAUUGUGAUGUAAUCUCAGCUCUAGGUUCUGUUUAUUAAUUUACACAACAUUUUUUCCUUCAAUUUUUUUGCUUUUAUUUUGAAGAAUGUUGUCACAUAUCGACAAAAUCUUAAUAUAUAGUUUUAUACCCUUUUUUUGCAAUAAUAAAGAUACAUAAUUUAAAAUUUACCAGAAGACUUCCUAAUAGGUACACUGAACGAGUUUAAUUCGUAUGAGAUAGGAUUUGCAAAAUCAAUUCUAGAAAGAAAAUGUGGUGAAUUCCUAUCCCUUAUAUGUUUAGUGUUAUAUGUUUUAAUAGUAUAAUUCACUUUUUUUUUCAUUAAUAUAUUCUAAUGUCAUUUCUCUGUCUCAUUAUAUGAAGAUCAAGUCUAUGUAACAAACUUACAGAGGAAAUUACAAUUCUUAAUAAUGUCUUUUAUCAGUAAAAAGUGAAAAGUGUGAAGCUAAUUGGAUUCAUUGGAAAUAUCAAUUACCUUAUCAAUGUCCAAUGAUUCAGUUAUUACCAGACCUUUACCUCAUUUAUAAAUAUCCAUUACCUUAUCAAUGUCCAAUGAUUCAGUUAUUACCCGACCUUUACCUCAUUUAUAAAUAUCAUUACCUUAUCAAUGUCCAAUGAUUCAGUUAUUACCGAACCUUUACCAUUUAUAAUAUCCAUUACUUAUCAAUGUCCAAUGAUUCAGUUAUUACCAGACUUUACUCAUUUAUAAAUAUCCAUUACCUUAUCAAUGUCCAAUGAUUCAGUUAUUACCCGACAUUUACCUCAUUUAUAAAUAUCCAUUACCUUAUCAAUGUCCAAUGAUUCAGUUAUUACCAGAUCGUUACCUCAUUUAUAAAUAUCCAUUACCUUAUCAAUGUCCAAUGAUUCAGUUAUUACCAGACCGUUACCUAUUUAUAAAUAUCCAUUACCUUAUCAAUGUCAAUGAUUCAGUUAUUACCCAGACCUUUACCUCAUUUAUAAAUAUCCAUUACCUUAUCAAUGUCCAAUGAUUCAUUUAUUACCAGACUGUUACCUAUUUAUAAAUAUCCAUUACCUUAUCAUGUCCAAUGAUCAGUUAUUACCAGACCUUUACCUCAUUUAUAAAUAUCCAUUACCUUAUAUUGUCCAAUGAUUCAGUUAUUAACAGACCUUUACCUAAUUUAUAAAUAUCAAUUACCUUAACAAUGUCCAUGAUUCAGUUAUUACCAGAUUACUCUUUAUAAAUAUCAUUACUUAUCAUUGUCCAAUGAUUCAGUUAUACAAACAGAUUUACCAAUUUAUAAUAUCCAUUACCUUAACAAUGUCCAAUGAGUCAGUUAUUACCAGACCUUUACCUAAUUUAUAAAUAUCCAUUACCUUAACAAUGUCCAAUGAUUCAGUUAUUACCAGACCUUUACCUCAUUUAUAAAUAUCCAUUACCUUAUCAUUGUCCAAUGAUUCAGUUAUAACCAGACCUUUACCUAAUUUAUAAAUAUCCAUUACCUUAACAAUGUCCAAUGAUUCAGUUAUUACCAGACCUUUACCUCAUUUAUAAAUAUCCAUUACCUUAUCAAUGUCCAAUGAUUCAGUUAUUACCAGACUGUUACCUAUUUAUAAAUAUCCAUUACCUUAUCAAUGUCCAAUGAUUCAGUUAUUACCAGACCUUUACCUCAUUUGUAAAUAUCCAUUACCUUAUCAUUGUCCAAUGAUUCAGUUAUAUUACCAGACCUUUACCUAAUUUAUAAAUAUCCAUUACCUUAACAAUGUCCAAUGAUCAGUUAUUACAGACUUUACCUAAUUUAUAAAUAUCCAUUACCUUAACAAUGUCCAAUGAUUCAGUUAUUACCAGACCUUUACCUCAUUUAUAAAUAUCCAUUACCUUAUCAUUGUCCAAUGAUUCAGUUAUAACCAGACCUUUACCUAAUUUAUAAAUAUCCAUUACCUUAACAAUGUCCAAUGAGUCAGUUAUUCAACCUUUACUCAUUUAAAUAUCCAUUAUACAAUGUCCAAUGAGUCAGUGAUUACCAGACCUUUACCUCAUUUAUAAAUAUCCAUUACCUUAUCAAUGUCCAAUGAUUUAGUUAUUACCAGACCGUUACCUCAUUUAUAAAUAUCCAUUACCUUAUCAAUGUCCAAUGAUUCAGUGAUUACCAGACCGUUACCUCAUUUAUAAAUUUCCAUUACCUUAUCAAUGUCCAAUGAUUCAAUUAUUACCAGACCUUUACCUCAUUUAUAAAUAUCCAUUACCUUAACAAUGUCCAAUGAUUCAGUUAUUACCAGACCUUUACCUCAUUUAUAAAUAUCCAUUACCUUAACAAUGUCCAAUGAUUCAGUUAUUACCAGACCUUUACCUCAUUUAUAAAUAUCUAUUACCAUAACAAUGUCCAAUGAUUCAGUUAUUACCAUGCAUUACCAAAAUAUCCAUUACAUUAUAAAUGUCAUAUGAUUCAGACAUUACCUUAUUAUUACCAAGUCUUUACCCGAUCUGACCUCUCAAUAUAACCAUGCCUUCUCCUUAUUAACCUUCCUUUUUUUCUCCAGGAAAUCAAAGUCUUUUAGAUAUGUUUUCAACAACUCAACUGUCCAAUCAAGAAAAAAAAUUCCAUGAUCAAAUUUCAAAGUGGUCAUAUUGACCAAGCGGGUGGAGUAGUUUAACUACUGUAUCACUAGCUUGUCAACACUGAGGUUGUGAGUUUCAAUACCUCACCUAACAGGUAGGCUAUACUCCAAUCUUGAUUGAUUAGGACUGUCAGUUUUCAUGGUUCACUCCAGCCAAUCUGGCUUCUUCCACCAAUAAAUUCUGACCACCACGGAAUAGCGCAAUAGUGCUGAAAGUGACGUUAAACACCAAUUACUCAAUCAAUCUUUUAAAGUAGGAUGUUGUUUAUGGAAUAGAGGCUAGAGUUCUGACAUCAAUUCAAAAUCCUAAAUGAAAAAAGCAUUAUCUAUUGACAGGGAUGAUAUCACAGCCUUGGGUAGCUCAAAUAAUUGUUUAAUUUUCAGUAUUUCUGCACCAUUUUAAACAAUUUUUUUUUAUGUCAAUUCUCAUUUAUGUUUAAUAUCAAAGAUUUUUAUCUGUUAUUGCAACCUUUAUAUUAACAUUAUUACCAUAUGUUAUUUACCUAGGCUUUUCAUAAUAUGUUGCCUUGGGAACUAAUUACAAUUGUUGUUUAAGUGCAAAUUUAUAAUAGAAAUGUCCAUAACUCAGUCCUUAUCGUUUUUGUUUUAAGGUAAAUUACAGAAUAAGAGGCAUUGGGUCACAUGACAUAUUACUUUUAUGAACCCAAUAAAAGAUCAUUAACCUAUUAUUGGAAAAAAUCAUGUUUAUUUUGUUGUUCUCCUCAAUUUGCUAAUGUAAUAUUACACAGAAAGGAAGACUUAUGGCAAAUCAUUUAAUUCAGUUGACAUUUAUUACAGAUAUAAAAUCAGCGGAAAAACUAGCAUGAAUAUAUACGCUUGACCGAACAUAAUUAUUACAAUUUUUAGUUCCUUCUUCCAGAGAUUACAGAUUCUAUCUAAAAUAUUGAGAAAUUUUCCUUCUUUUGUUUAAGCGCAGACAUUAGGGUACUUUACAAUUACUCAACCAUGCUUAUUGUACAUUAAAAAGACUAAGUAUGGGUUAAAAUUUAAAGACUUAAGACCCAUUAACAUUUAGUUAAUUGGUAUAGUAGUGCUUUUAGAAGAAUUAUUGAUUGUCAGAUACUUAAGAUGAUUAUGUUAUUACCAUACUAGAACCAAAUGGAUCUUAAAAUACCACAUUUGUUUUCUUCUAAGAGGAAGGAGAGAUGGUUAUAUAAUAUCAAUACAUGUACACAGAAAGCCAAGCCAACCCAACAUUUGUUUAAAUUGUUACAUUUUUCACUUUUUGUUCUUUUCUAAAAGCAUCCCAUUUUCGGAUAAUUUCCAUUUUUCAGUAUGCGGAAUCUUCACUUUUUGUUCUUUGUUCUUUUCUAAAAGCAUCCCAUUCUUUGGAUAAUUUCCAUUUUCAAGUAUACCAAUUCCCCAAUCUAAAAUAGAUAUUUCUACAAUAAUAAUUACAUGGUCAUGUGAUUAUGUAUACUCUUAAGGAAAAGUAUUGUCUUCUAUAUUAUCAACAAUUGUCUCAUUAUAUCUUGAUGAAUUACCAAGUUAGUGUACAGAAAGGGCUUCAUUUAAUGAAAUCUGAAUCAUAAAAUAAUAUUUCAGAACACUCAUUUCCGUUAUCAUCAGUUACAGUCUGACAUUAACAUCCAUAAUAUUUGAUUCUGUCAUAAUCUUUGAAAGAUUAACAGAUCGGAAAGUUAUGAUUGGAAAUUGUGAUUCCUCCUUGUCAAUAGAUUGUAACGACCAUUUCAUUAUAAUGAUCGUGUUAAAGGGUUAUCGGAUACUUCAUUGCAGGGAAAGUGACAUGAUACUGGUGACUAAAGACAGAAAACAAAUAAUUUUACACACCCAUGUUUGCAUUUUCUAAUUAGAACAGCGCAGGCCAAUUUUCAAAGCAUACAAAAUUUAAUAAAGAUUCCUCUAUAUAUGCCAAUGUUGUUACUCCCGUAGGAAACAAGAAUAAUUUGUAGCAUGUUCAAAUGCUGAAGAAAUAUUGAUGUUCAUCAAAUUAUAGGAAAAACCAAAUUGACAUUUUGAGAAAGAGCAGAGCUCAUAAAAGCUGAUGGAAGCUGAUAAACAAAAAUGAAUUUGAUAUUCCAUGAGAAAUAAUAAUGAAAAAACUCAAAAAGUACCUGUUUCGCUCAGGUACCAAAAUUGCAAUAUUUAACAUAUGUAAACAUUUCCUGGAUAAUAAACUUGGCUGUUUCUUUAAUUUAAAACUAUGAUUUUACUGAUUGUUGCAUUAUUAUUCAUAGAUUGCUCAAGUGUAAACAUUGUAAUUAAACAAUUUAUGAUUUAUUCCUGAUGGGAGUAAAUGAUAAGGCUAGGAGAAUAACUAACAACCAAACAAACACUUUAUUUCUAUAAUCACAAAAAAUAGUAAUUUAAGAGUUAUAAAGUAUAGACUUAUUAGAUAUCAUUUAUAAAAGAAAUUCUGGUCCCAGACCACUAUUAUUUCGUAGUGCAUUUCUUUUAGAACAUAAAUGAAAAUAAAAAAAAUCCCACCUGUGCUUUCUCAAAGAAACUGUUAUAGUGUGUUGUACUACUUUUGGGACAAAUUAUAUCAAAAUUAUAGAAAACUUCAUCGGCUCUAGAUCAAAAUAUGGACAAUAUUAUGUUUAGGGCGUCUUGAAAUCUUUUGACAGCUUCCGAAGUGCAAAUUUUAAACCUUUCUCAGCUGGACCAAAUCACUACUUUACUUUAAAAUUCUGGACCCAAAUUUUUUACCGUGUAAUUUGAUCCCCUACUUGCAAUUUGAGGCAUUAAACAUGGAGAAAUAAAUUUGGAAGGGGUAUAAAAAUUAAUGGCACGUAACCCACUGUCAACUCUAGGGACUAUAUUUGUGAACAACGAAAAUCAAGGGACGACAACUGUGGUCUCUGACCUUCUUGGUUAAGCCCACAUAAAGUUCAUAAGUUUUUCUUAUUUAUAGAGAGUUGAAAAACAAUGCAAAUUGCUUAUGACCCCAUCAUUUACUUACAUCAGGAAUAACUCUAGUUUGCCUCAACCAAAAGUUAAGAAACAUAUACACACAAUGUCUAUUACCACAAAACACUGAUCUAGUUCAAAUGUUGGUGGCAUGACUUUUACAGUUCUGUAGUUAAGUCCCUUUAUAAUGUGAUAUGCAAGAGAGGGCAUCUCUUGUGUCCCAUUGAUAAAUAUUCCAUUUAUUUUUCUUGAGUUAUGUCCCUUUAUGACAUGAAAUGCAAGAGAGGGCAUCACUUGUGUCCCAUUGAUAAAUUCUACAUUUAUUUUUAUUGAGUUAUGUCCCUUUAGAACAUGAUAUGCAAGAGAGGGCAUCACUUGUGUCCAUUGAUUAAUUCUCUAUUUAUUUAUGUAUCAAAGGAGAGAAAAAAUAUUUGUAAAGUCUAGACAUUUGUAUGUUGUCCUAGAAAAAUAGACAAGCUGUGGUUUAUUUAUUGCAGUUAUAAGAUGGAUAGCAAUAGUUUUUGUUUACUUAUUUUCAUAUAAAAUGUCUUUGUGCUUUAGGGUUUCUUUUUUCAUGGAAAUGAGAAAAUCUAUCAUUUAUAAAUAACAAUAAGCAUUGUGUCUUAGUUUUUUUGACACAUAGCAACAUAUAUGUCAUUCUAAGGACACUUAUUUUUACUAAUUUUUUUAAUCUAUUCCACAACUAACUAGUAUUUGUUGACUUGAAUUUGAAGACAGCGUUCACCAUUUAAUGUGAAGUUAAUGUAUUUCAAUGCCAAAGUUAGAAGCUGGACUAAACAUAAACCCUUAGUGCAUUUAAGUAACUGACAACUCCUGUAUAAUAUCAAAUAUUUAUAGUAUGAUUGAGUGCUUAUUUAAAUUUACAAAUGACUAGAAUAAACAUGAAAAUAAGAAAAUUUGUAUGAUUGCCUUUGAGACAACUCUCCACUAGAGAAAAAAUGAUGUAGAUGUUAGCAACUAUAGGCCACUAUUAUGCCUUCAACAAUGAGCAUAAUCCAUACCAUAUAGGAAGUAUAAAAGGCUGCAACAUGACAAAAUGUAAAACAAUUCAAACAAAAAAAAAAUGUUCUGAUUUAUUACAAUAUAAUAAACAAAAAACAAGUAUGACAAACAGCCAAUAAUACCAUUAGAUUGAGACGGGUAUGACAAACAGCCAAUAAUACCAUUGAAUUGAGACGGGCACCCAACAGGCUUAAUGACUAAUUGUAGGUACAGUAGUCUUCAGUAUAAAUCUGCAUCAAUGCAUGAAGGAUUUUGACAGAAUAAAAUUUCUAGAGCUAAUAUUAGUCUUCAAAAAGCAGGCUUCCAAGUUACAUUAUAAUAAUUAUCUGUUUUAGGUCGUGGAAACUCUGCCUUUGAAACUGCUGAUCAAAUAUAUGGUGCUACGGGUUUGAUUCAUAUGGUUGGUAGAUCCAGAGUGAGGCUAUCAUGGUCAACUCAUUAUGUUGGAGAUCUAAGGUAAGUAAUUCACAGUAUAAAAAAUAUGUAGUUUACAUUAAUAUUUUUUAAACUAGAACCAUAGAGAGUUGACAACAGUUCUUUUAAAAACACUGUAAAUCAAUUUUGAACUGAAACAGCCACUUCGAAAUGAACCAAUCUUAAAAGACUGAACAAUGAAUAAGUCACUUUUCUUCAGUCCUUGAGUCAAAGCAAAAACUAUGCUUGAGGUGAAUUAAGAUCCGUUCAGUCAAUUUUUAGAAUGUUUUUGUGCUGUAAUUUCAUGCGCAAAACAAUUUAUGCUGAACAGACUAUGUACAGUACUGUUUUGGCUGCCAGCAAAAUGUCUGAAUAGUACUGGAUUUACAGCCUUAAAAAAAUAAUUUAAAAAUGACAAUCUCUUUACAAAACUUAAUAAUGUUUUGUUCAGACAAUUUAGAUGACAUUGACAAAUCAAAAACAUAGAGAUUAGUUUUAUAUUUAUUCAUACACCAGAUGUUUGUUUCAUCUACAUUAGACUUAUCGAUAAAGUUCAAAAUUUAAGAAGUUGAUAGGAAAAUCAAAUAUGAAGUUUUAAGAGCAUUAAAACUGAUUUUUUUAGCUCACCUGACCUGAAAGGUCAAGUGAGCUUUUCUCAUCACUUGGUGUCCGUCGUCCGUCGUCCAUAAACUUUUACAAAAAUCUUCUCCUCUGAAACUACUGGGCCAAAUUUAACCAAACUUGGCCACACUCAUCCUUGGGGUAUCUAGUUUAACAAAUGUGUCCGAUGACCUGGCCAUCAAACCAAGAUGGCUGCUAUGGCUAAAAAUAGAACACAGGGUAAAAUGCAGUUUUUGGCUUAUAACUCAAAAACCAAAGCAUUUAGAGCAAAUCUGACAGGGGUAAAAUGAUUAUCAGGUCAAGAUCUAUCUGCCCUGAAAUUCUCAGAUGAAUCGGACAACCCGUUGUUGGGUUGCUGCCCCUGAAUUGGUAAUUUUAAGGAAAUUUUGCAGUUUUUGGUUAUUAUCUUGAUUUUUAUUAUAGAUAAAGAUAAACUGUAAACAGCAAUAAUGUUCAGCAAAGUAAGAUCUACAAAUAAGUCAACAUGACCAAAAUUGUCAGAGAACUCCUUAAGGAGUUAUUGUCCUUUAUAGUCAAUAUUGAACAACUUUUCGUCAUUUUUGUAACUUGUACAAAAAUCUUCUUUUCUAAAACUAUAGGCCAAAUUUAACCAAACUUGGCCACAAUCAUUACAAGGGUAUCUAUUUUAAAAAUGAGUCUAAUGACCAUGCCUGCCAACCUAGAUGGCCAACAUCAGUAAAUACAGUAACAGGUGAGCGACACAUGCUCUUGAGAGCCUCUAGUUUUUAAAAGUUAAAAAAGUCAUUUCUGACUUAAAUUCAUUUACCAAUGCAAGGAUGUUCUGUUUGUUUUUAUGUUUUCAAUCUCAUAGUGCUUCAGUUUGCUUAAAGCUGAUAUUUGAACAAUUGUAAUCCUAAUCAAGAUAUUCUUAAAAUCGUUCCUGAGUCUCGAUUCUCUAUUUCAAUGAAAAAGGUAAUCCUUGAGAAUAACAAGUCUUGUUUGACACUUUUGCAAACUCAAAUAGAGUCUAUUACUGUAAAUUCAGAAAUUAUUGCGAUGUUUUUAUUAUUGCAAAAUAUGCGACAGUUAUAUUCGCAAUAAUUUAAACUCGCUUUUUGAACAGGAUUUUUAUUAAUAUCGCAAAAAUUAAAAUCAUGUUUUAAUCUAAAAUGACAAAAUCACAAUAAUAAAUGGAUGCAUUAAUUUAUGAACUUACAGUACUGUCACUUUAAGUUUAUUGAUAUUUGUAACUUUAAAAAAGACUGCUUUCUUUAAUAGAAGAACAUCUGUGUUUGAUUGUAAAUGAUCUAAUUGUUUCAGAAAUUAAUGUUUGUUUUAGAGUAAAACAAAAGAAAACAAAUCUACAGGGACUAAUUUUUGUCAAUUAUUUUUUUCAGGGCUGUCAAUAAUGCCUUGUUGGACACGUACCAGCUGAAGUCCCUGGAUGGAUUGCUAGAAGCCAGUAUCGAUGAAGUUAAGUUUGUAAAGACGGGAGAUAAAUAUGGCCUACAGUUCAAAGAUGAGGACGACGGGCCUGGAUUGAUGAUAGAUAAUUUUGCUUUACGAGAGCCUUAUGAUAAGAUAAUAAGAUGUCUGGGAUUUAAAUUUGACUUUUCAGUGUUUAACAAGUAAGUUUAUUGAAUUGUAGAAACCUGACUUUUGAGAAUGAUAGAUUUGACUAAUUGUUAGUUUUGAUGAUUUUAUCGCUUUUGCAAUAAAUUUCUUAUAAUUAACAUCCCAGUUGACCUAUUUUUGACCUAAUAAUGCCUUUUGAGCUAUUUAACUAUAAAUUUGAGAGGAAGUCAUUUUUUUAUGCCCCAUUUAUGGGCAUUAUGUUUUCUGGUCUGUCUGAACGUUCGUUCGUUCAUACGUCCCUCUGUUGUACCCUUCGUCCCUGAGUCCAUUCCUCUUCAGUUUUUGGUCGAGGAAGUUUUUGAUGAAGUUGAAGUCCAAUCAACUUGAAACUUACUACACAUGUUCCCUAUGAUAUGAUCUUUCUAAUUUUAAUGCCAAAUUAUAGAUUUUCCCCCAUUUUCAUUGUCCACUGAACAAAGAAAAUGAUAGUGACAGUGUGGAUGGGACAUCCAUGUACUAUGGACACGUUCUUGUUUAAACUUUAUUUUUAGUUAGUUUGAACCUGGAAAAAAAUGAUUAUCUGUUUUAAAGUUUUAUUGGUAUGAUAUUGGGUGAUUUUAAAAUAAAAAUUUAUCAAACAAUAUGCUAGCAUAAUAGAUCCCCAUAAUAUUAAACAUUAUCAUAAUUCAGUUAUCACUUUAUAUUCUCAUCUUGAACAUGCAUGAAAUAGUUGCCACUGAACGUUACUUACUUAAUCCACUUUCGUCCCAUGGGGUACAUAGGGCGACCACACCACUGAACGUUAAGCAUCUAUCAAUUAUUCAAUUAAAAUGUUAACAUUUUGAUUCUACUGCAAAGCUUUAGCAGGGAAUUAGAUCUACUGCAAAGCUUUAUAGCAGGGAAAUUAGAUCUACUGCAAAGCUUUAUAACAGGGAAUUAGAUCUACUGCAAAGCUUUAUAGCAGGGAAUUAGAUCUACUGCAAAGCUUUAUAGCAGGGACUUAGAUCUAUUACAAAGCUUUAUAGCAGGGACUUAGAUCUACUGCAAAGCUUUAUAGCAGGGAAUUAGAUCUACUGCAAAGCUUUAUAACAGGGAAUUAGAUCUACUGCAAAGCUUUAUUGCAGGGAAUUAUAUCUACUGCAAAGCUUUAUAGCAGGGAAUUAGAUCUACUGCAAAGCUUUAUAGCAGGGAAUUAGAUCUACUGCAAAGCUUUAUAGCAGGUAAUUAGAUCUACUGCAAAGCUUUUAUAGCAGAAUUAGAUCUACGCAAAGCUUUAUAGCAGGGAAUUAGAUCUACUGCAAGCUUUAUAGCAGACUUAGAUAUAAGCAGGAAUUAGAUCUACUGCAAAGCUUUAUAGCAGGGAAUUAGAUCUACUGCAAAGCUUUAUAGCAGGGAAUUAGAUCUACUGCAAAGCUUUAUAGCAGGGAAUUAGAUCUACUGCAAAGCUUUAUAGCAGGGAAUUAGAUCUACUGCAAAGCUUUAUAGCAGGGACUAAGAUCUACUGCAAAGCUUUAUAGCAGGGAAUUAGAUCUACUGCAAAGCUUUAUAGCAGGGAAUUAGAUCUACUGCAAAUCUUUAUAGUAGGGAAUUAGAUCUACUGCAAAGAUUUAUAGCAGGGCAUUAUGUCUAUUAGAUUUUGAAUAUUCUUGAUUAUUGUUAAUCUUGAAGUUAUACUACAUUUAACUUUAUUUAGCAUUGAUCUAUUUGACUCUGAAUAUUCUUAAUUGUUGUGUUGAAUCUUGUAGUGAUACACAGAUGUCCAGGGGAUAUGGUAGGUCCAAAAAGUUCCCACGUAUAAACCAUGACUACCAGUCACCUGACAAUCCUGGCAUGUAUUUAGCUGGUGCUGCUACACAUUCAUUAGACUUCAGGAAGUCUGCUGGAGGAUUUAUACAUGGGUAUAGAUAUACAGGUACAAAACAAAUAAUUAAAUAGGCUAUCAUUAAAUUUUCUUGGCCUGAUGAUGCCUACUCAUGCCUUGUUGGGAUUUAAUUUUUACAUGAUUUAGACAAGAAAACGAUGUUAGAGCAGGAAAAAAUCUUAAUAAAAAAAAAAAGGAUUUGUGUCAUAAUUUUUUUGUCGGUAGGUGUAUUUUUAAAUAGAUAUGUAGGAAGGUAGGCAUUUUAAAUAAUUAUUUAAUUUUUUGCCUAAUUUUGUCUUUGUGCUGAAUAUUUGAGACAAAGAAUUAAGGUAAAAAGAAUUAACAAUAAUUGCUUUUAAAAAGGAUAGCACUUGACAUUCCUUCAUUGGCUAGAUUGCAAUCAAUUUGAGAUAUCAGAAUCAAUCAAUUCUAUCUUUUAACAGAGUUUUUUUAGGGAACUGAACAAUCCCAUUGUUUCAAUUUACCAAUUAUUGCUUUAAAAAGAUUGACAUUUGACAAGCCUUUAUUUGGCUUGAUUAGAAUCUAUUGAGAUAUCAGGAAUAUCUUAAAACAUAGAUACUUUGUAACUGAACAAUCCUGUUGUACCAAUUAUACUUAGCUUUGCCCAAAUGUAUUUCUAAUUGGAAAAUGUCAGGUUUAAUCAUGAUUGAUAAAGAGUUCUCUAAUUAGAAGAUAGAAAAGUUUUUUCGGUUUCCUUAUAAGCAUGAAACUGCAAGUCAUAUGGUGUUUUAGAUAUAUUUUUUUUUUAAUUUGCAGACCAUAGAUAUGUCUAUUGUUUGCAAAUCAAAAAAAAAAAAAUAUCACAAAAACCAUUAGAGCUACAGUACCACUGCUAAUGUGCAUGAUGCUAUAAAUGUACAACUCAUACACGUGUGGUGGUAAAAAGUGUAAAGUGUAACCUGGUUUUUACCUCUCAUUACGGUAUACUUUCUGAUGCAGUUGAUUUAUCUUGUGGGUAAUAUUUUGUGAAAAGAAAAAUGCAGAUAACAGUUUAAACAAUUUCCAUAUGAAUAAACUUAAAAGAAAUAUUUCCAUGAAAAAGUAACCCACCUAUUAGAAUGAAAAUUAAUGUCAAUAGAUAGUCCUUAUCUACAAGAAAGCUAUUACAUAAGGCAAUGUCUUACUCUUACAUGGUCCAUACACACCUAAAUAAGAUUAACUCAUUACUCUUACAUAGUCCAUACACACCUAAAUAAGAUUAACACAUUACUCUUGCAUGGUCCAUACACACCUAAAUAAGAUUAACUCAUUACUCUUGGUCCAUACACACCUGAAUAAGAUUAACGCAUUACUCUUGCAUGGUCCAUACACACCUGAAUAAGAUUAACUCAUUACUCUUAAAUGGUCCAUACACACCUGAAUAAGAUUAACUCAUUACUCUUGCAUGGUCCAUACACACCUGAAUAAGAUUAACUCAUUACUCUUGCAUGGUCCAUACACACAGCUGCAGUAUAAAUAUGAUUAAUAUAAAAAUAAGGAGAUGCGGUAUUAUUGCCAAUGAGACAACUAUCUGACAAUGUAGUAGAUGUAAACAAUUAUGCAAUUAUAUACCACCGUACAGCCUUAAACAAUGAGAAAAAUCUGUACCUAUAGGUAAAAAUAAAAGGCAUAGACAUGAAAAAUGUGAAUCAAUUCAAAAGAGAAAACUAACCAUCUAAUUCAAUUAUGACAAAACAAUUUUAGGAAAAUAUAAAAAAAGAAAAAAAAGACAUGAACCCCAACAACCACUUAUGAAUUAACCUUAUACUAUUAAACUCCUAGUUAAAGUUAAAUUUGUUUUUUCUUGUUUCAGCACGAUCUUUAAGUAGAAUUUUAGAUAAUCGCUAUCAUCAAGUGCCUUGGCCAUCAACGACUGUUCCACUUACACAGAUGAUGAACAUCAUGUUGAAGCGUAUUAACGAAGCAUCAGGAUCCUACCAGAUGUUUGAUGUUUUAGCAGAUUUGAUCAUUUUGAAUGAGUAAGUUAUAUAUAAAAUAUUAAGUCAAUGAAAGAAAAGUAUAAACUUUUUUGUAUGAGGCUAAGAAACUGGGGAAAGGCGAGGUCCUACCGAGCCCUUCCAGUUUUGCACAGAGUACAAAAAAGUUUAUUAUUUUAAUAUGACAUUGACCUAAUAUUUUUUUUAUACUGCAACUUUAACAGAUACAUUGAUAGCAUUUGAAAUAGUAACACAAUUGUCAAACUUAUUUUCAUCCCUUAAUGAACCCCUGAUUGUGGAGAAAGUGUUCCAUGAUGAAAUUGACAUUAUACAUAUUAAUAUAGCUAUGUUACUAUAUUUAGGAAAUAAACACAACUAGUUACAGUAUAAAUACUUACGUGUCGAACGUUUUGGUGAACAUAAAUGGAUAAUAUUUUAUUUAAGGAACAGCAGUAAAAUAUUUUUUAGAUUUUCAUUUUCUCUACAUAUAUAUACAACAGUAUGACACAGUUCACAAAAAAAAGAACGGUUACAUAGCAUUUUUACCAGAUAGGGAAGGGAGCAUUGAGCCAAGACUACAGAAAAAUGUUUAAACAAAAUUAAGAAUAGAGAAAAUUAGACUGGGGAUCUAAGAAAUAAAAAAUAUAGAAUAAGGGGUUAAAUAAAAUAAAGAAUUUUUUUUGGUGGUUUAAUUUGAGGGUUUUUUUUUAUUGCCAGAACGCUCUACCUUUAGAAUAAAAAUAAGAUAUAUCUUACGUUAAUAUUUUUUUCUCUUUUAUAGUGAUAACACCACCUUUACUUAUCUAGAAGAAGUUCCUGUCAACUUGAUAGAUAAAUUAGAACAACACACAGGACAUAAUGCAAACAGAUUGAUAGUCCUUAUUAUGCAAUAUGGCCGAGAUUUCUCUGGUCCAGGAAAUGAUGUCUUCCGAAUUAACCGAGCCACUGGAGAACCUGCCGACGCUCACAAUUCUAACUUCUUACAUCCAGUAUUUUAUUAUUAUGAAAAACUUCCUACAGGUUUGUUUCAGUUUGUGAACUUAAAAAAUCUAACUUGUGACUCAGUAUUUUAUUAUUAUGAGAGACACUCUAGAGAUUUGGAUCAGUUUAAGUCUUACUAUAAUGAGAAUAAAGUUUUCUUUGAGAUCUAUAUAAAUUAAGAUUAAUCUUAAGCCAACCUCACUAACUUAGAUUGAUUGAUGUGAUCAAUGUCCCUAUUGUAAUCAUUCCAUGAAUAAAACAUCAAUGUUGAUUAUUGGGGUUUUGUUUCUUGAUCCCUUGAAAUCUGGGGUGAUUAUAGAUAUAUUUUGUAGAUAUUGAGCCUCACUGAUCAUUCACAUGCAGACCUUGAAAGGUAGCACUUUUGCCUUUAGAUUCUACAAAAAGCCAAUCCAUUCAAAAGUUUUUAUUUUUAUAUUUUUAUGCUUUCAGUAAAACUUUGGUCUGUAUGAGGAGUAGCUAUUCUGUAACCAUACACAUCAUAAAUUCUUUUAAAUAAAACCAAACAUGCCAAAAUGCUUUCAUCACUUUUGCUUGUUGUUAUUCAUUAACUUGAAACACUUCCCCAUUUGUAGUAUAUUUUUAAAGAGACUAUUUUUUUUUACAGAAGAAGAAAUGAAGCGUAAAACCGAAACAAUGCCAAGACCUAAUAAGAUACAUCAUAUUGUUGAAGAUUUUUUGACACAAUGGGAUGGUCCUGUCAGUCAUAUUCUACCGCUAAGAAGAUUUCUAGAAGAUGCCACUAAUAUAAACUUACGACACUCGUUUGCUGAGGAAUGUAUGAAAAAAAGGUUACUAUUUCAAACAGUUCCCAUUUCUUGUCAACAGGAUUUUAUGAAAGGUCAAGGGUUGAAAGGAACGCCUGAUUUGAUUAACCUUUCGAAAAGUGCUAAGGAUAUGUAA
rnacentral:lncRNA from 1 species